rnacentral:rRNA from 1 species
AUUGAACGCUGGCGGCGUGCCUAAUACAUGCAAGUCGAACGGAGUGGCGCACGGGUGAGUAAUGUAUAGCUAAUCUGCCCUACACUAGAGGACAGCAGUUGGAAACGACUGCUAAUACUCUAUAGUGUAGGAUGAGGCUAUAUUGUAUCAGCUAGUUGGUGAGGUAAUGGCUCACCAAGGCUAUGACGCAUAACUGGUCUGAGAGGAUGAUCAGUCAACCUGGAAGUGAGACACGGUGCAGACUCCUACGGGAGGCAGUAGUAGGGAAUAGUGCUCAAUGGGGGAAACCCCGAAGUAGCAACGUGGCGUGGAGGAGGACAAUUUUCGGGGCGUACACUCCUUGUGUUAGGGGAGCGGUGCAUAACGAAUAAGCACCGGCUAACUCCGUGCCAGCAGCCGCGGUAAUUC